AUUCAGGCACUACAUAAUGAAUACAAUAAUAAUUUAAUAUCAAUGCGGUCUAUAACAACUACACAAACGACAUACCUAAUAAUAUAUACCUAUAUAUUAUUAAUCAAUUAAUUUUAAAAGAAGAUACUGACAUACAUGGGUGGUCCACUGUUAUAGGUGAGAAUUUGGGAAGGUAUAGAUGGGAAAUGUAAUGUACAUCUGUACGCAAC